rnacentral:rRNA from 1 species
GUCCACGCUGUAAACGAUGUCGACUUGGAGUUUGUGGGCAUGACCCGUGGGCUCCGGAGCUAACGCGUUAAGUCGACCGCCUGGGGAGUACUGCCGCAAGGUUAAAACUCAAAUGAAUUGACGGGGGCCCCGCACAAGCGGUGGAGCAUGUGGUUUAAUUCGAUGCAACGCGAAGAACCUUACCUACUCUUGACAUCCAGAGAAUUUGCUAGAGAUAGCUUAGUGCCUUCGGGAACUCUGAGACAGGUGCUGCAUGGCUGUCGU